rnacentral:lncRNA from 1 species
UUCACUGUGAGAAUGAAGGAGGAAGAGGAGCUAUCAAUGGACAGUGGAGAUGAAAUGUCCAGCGAUAGUCUGGAUCUGGCUUCACAUGACGGAGGCUCUUCAGAUGAAGACGCACAGAUGCGCGGACGUUUAACGAGACGGAGAUCCAGAGAAGGAGAGCAAGGGAUUUCUGCCACGUCUCAUCUCGGAGAUUCCUUUGUUCCUGCACAUGCAGACGUAGAAAAGGAUCUGCAGACUGAUGAGCCAGAACGGCUGUCAGAAGAACCAUACACGCUGUAGCAAACUGCUGCAUCAUCUUUGUUAUGUGCAGACAAAGACAAUUCAAUUUUUUCCUACUACUCCGUGUCAUUGUGUUUGGCCUCUUGCUAUGUCAUUGUUAUGCCCCGUCUUCCUCCUGUCAUUCUCCGUCCUCUUCGCGCACCUUCCUCAAGGAGGUCAUGCGGGAAUACCACGCGUGGGAAUGCCACAUGCCUUCCUCCCCAUUAUUUCCCGGGCCCGUCUGCAGUGUCUUGCG